rnacentral:rRNA from 1 species
UACGUAGGUGGCAGGCGUUAUCCGGAUUUAUUGGGCGUAAAGCGAGCGCAGGUGGUUUAUUAAGUCUGGUGUAAAAGGCAGUGGCUCAACCAUUGUAUGCAUUGGAAACUGGUAGACUUGAGUGCAGGAGAGGAGAGUGGAAUUCCAUGUGUAGCGGUGAAAUGCGUAGAUAUAUGGAGGAACACCGGUGGCGAAAGCGGCUCUCUGGCCUGUAACUGACACUGAGGCUCGAAAGCGUGGGGAGCAAACAGG